UACAGAGGGUGCAAGCGUUAAUCGGAAUUACUGGGCGUACAGCGCGCGUAGGUGGUUUGUUAAGUUGGAUGUGAAAUCCCCGGGCUCAACCUGGGAACUGCAUCCAAAACUGGCAAGCUAGAGUAUGGUAGAGGGUGGUGGAAUUUCCUGUGUGGCGGUGAAAUGCGUAGAUAUAGGAAGGAACACCAGUGGCGAAGGCGACCACCUGGACUGAUACUGACACUGAGGUGCGAAAGCGUGGGGAGCAAACAGG
rnacentral:rRNA from 1 species